rnacentral:rRNA from 1 species
UACGGAGGGUGCAAGCGUUAUCCGGAUUUACUGGGUUUAAAGGGUGUGUAGGCGGGCUUUUAAGUCAGUGGUGAAAUCUCCGGGCUCAACCUGGAAACUGCCAUUGAUACUAUUAGUCUUGAAUUCUGUUGAGGUAGGCGGAAUAAGUCAUGUAGCGGUGAAAUGCUUAGAUAUGACUUAGAACACCAAUUGCGAAGGCAGCUUACUAAACAGAUAUUGACGCUGAGGCACGAAAGCGUGGGGAUCAAACAGG